GAUGAACGCUGGCGGCGUGCCUAAUACAUGCAAGUCGAACGAAGAUCUAGCUUGCUAGAUCUUAGUGGCGAACGGGUGAGUAAUACAUAAAUAAUCUGCCCAUAUGACUGGGAUAACUAUUGGAAACGAUAGCUAAUACCGGAUAGGUUGAUCGGAGGCAUCUCUGAUGAAUUAAAGUAGGAUUUCUACACAAAUGGAUGAGUUUAUGGCGCAUUAGUUAGUUGGUGGUAACGGCCUACCAAGACGAUGAUGCGUAGCCGACCUGAGAGGGUGACCGGCCACACUGGGACUGAGACACGGCCCAGACUCCUACGGGAGGCAGCAGUAGGGAAUUUUCGGCAAUGGGCGCAAGCCUGACCGAGCAACGCCGCGUGAGUGAUUAAGGCCUUCGGGUUGUAAAGCUCUGUUGUAAGGGAAGAACAUUCAGGAUAGGAAGUGAUCUUGAACUGACGGUACCUUACCAGAAAGCCACGGCUAACUACGUGCCAGCCGCCGCGGUAA
rnacentral:rRNA from 1 species